CGUGCAGCCGGGAGCCUGCGAUGGCCCGAGGUGAUGGCCUCUGGGUUGAAUGCAGUCACUUUCUGUCCCUCCUGGGUUUCACUGCUGACCCUGUGUCCCGCAGCUCUCAGAGGCCCCGUGGUGACACUCGGUUAGCCACGCUCCUCUCCUCCUUCCGUCCCUCUCACUGCUCUGAUUUGUGCCCCUGACCCCACAUGCACCACUGGACCACCGUGAGGGAAGGACGGUCUGGAUUUCAAGGUCCCUGGCAGGGAAACAACAGUGUCAAGCUCACAGACGUCCUCCGAGAUCACCAUCAAGCACCCCGGGAGGAAACAGGACCUUGGUGUGGCCGGUGAGGAGCAGGUGCUUUAUGAGCUCAUCGCUGUGGCCCGCCGCCCCCCGAUCUGUGUCAGUGUGAAGUAAGAGGCCAGCAAAGAGGUGUCAGGGAAACAAGGCAGCCCCUGCCCCUUCCUCCUGCUGCCACGUGACACUGAGCCGCCCACGCGCCAAGUGGGGCCCUUGUGCUGGUGAAGCAUCAACCCCGAGUCCUCAGUCACCACCGUGGAGUCAGAGAGCGGACCCGGGUCACCCUCCCCCAGCAGGCAGAAGAAAGUGAAUGGAGGCCUGGACGCCAGGGUGGGUCCUGCCCCCGUGUCCAUGGGAACCAGCCUUGACUGAGAAGAGGAAGUGGGGUGAGGACAGCCUUGACAUCCCACAUUUCUCCUUCCAGAGGACACAAGAACCUUCAGUGUCAACGUUCACCAGCACACCACCCCCGGAAAGUCUGGAAUCCUCAGUCAGAAAAGUUCAGUAUCUCGAAGUGGGCCCCCAUCCAGGUGUCUGCCCUGGGGACAGAGGCACCUGUGUUCACUGUCACAGUCAACUUUCUUCUUUCAUGUCAAAAUUGAUUCUGAAAACUCAACAGAGCCCAUCACCUUCACUUUUGUGGGACUAGCAGCACUGGGCCACCUCUCACAGCCUGUCAUACUAUAUUCAGUGUGAGCAAGAGUUUUCUAAAGCUGGGCUCUGGCCAUCUUUGCAUAAUGUAUGAAUUAAAAAUAAUUUUAUUCCCUCCUCUGUCUUUG
rnacentral:lncRNA from 1 species